rnacentral:rRNA from 1 species
CGCGUGGGAACGUGCCCCAAAGUGAGGAAUAACGCACCGAAAGGUGUGCUAAUGCCGCAUAUGGUCUUCGGAUUAAAGCUUCGGCGCUUUGGGAGCGGCCUGCGUACGAUUAGAUAGUUGGUGAGGUAAUGGCUCACCAAGUCGACGAUCGUUAGCUGGUCUGAGAGGAUGACCAGCCAGACUGGAACUGAGACACGGUCCAGACUCCUACGGGAGGCAGCAGUGAGGAAUCUUCCACAAUGGGGGCAACCCUGAUGGAGCAACGCCGCGUGAAGGAUGAAGGCCCUCGGGUCGUAAACUUCUUUUAUUAGUGAAGAAUAUGACGGUAACUAAUGAAUAAGGAUCGGCUAACAACGUG